rnacentral:rRNA from 1 species
GGUUGGGUAGGGGAGCGUCGCGUGACUGCUGUGAAGCGCUGGGGUAACCCUAGUGUGGAGUGUGCGCGAGUGAGAAUGCAGGCAUGAGUAGCGAAUGAGGAGUGGAAAACUCCUCCGCCGAAUGACUAAGGGUUCCUGGGCCAGGUUAAUCCUCCCAGGGUGAGUCGGGACCUAAGGCGAGGCCGACAGGCGUAGUCGAUGGAUAACGGG